rnacentral:rRNA from 1 species
GGAAUCUUGCGCAAUGGGGGCAACCCUGACGCAGCCACGCCGCGUGCUAGAAGACGGCCCUAUGGGUUGUAAACAGCUUUUACUAGGGAAGAACCUAGACCUUUCGAGGACCACUGACGGUACCUAGUGAAUCAGCCCCGGCUACCCCCGUGCCAGCAGCCGCGGUAAUACGGAGGGUGCAAGCGUUGUCCGGAAUCAUUGGGUGUAAAGGGUGUGCAGGCGGAAGUCUAAGUCGGAGGUGAAAUCUUGCCGCUUAACGGUAAAAGGGCCUUCGAAACUGGAUUUCUUGAGUUCGGAAGAGGUUGGUGGAAUUCGUGGUGUAGCGGUGAAAUGCAUAGAUAUCACGAAGAACACCGGUGGCGAAGGCGGCCAACUGGUCCGAUACUGACGCUGAGACACGAGAGCGUGGGGAGCG